UAGACGCUUCAGUUGCUUUCUUCACCUGAAAACAAAACGAAAGAGAGAGUGGGACGAGAUGGAGCUCCGACGAGGCCGUGGGAAGAGAUGACGAUGAUGGCCGUGGGAAGAGAUGGAGCUCCAACGAUGGCCGUGGGAAGAGAUGGAGCUCCGACAAUGGCCGUUCGAUGUCCGACAGGCGACAAUGCUUCUGGUUACCACAUCGUGUUCAAUCUGCAGCAGAGCUUCUCUCCUUUUCGUUCACCAAAAGUGAUCAGAGCAAGUGUCCCUAAGCUGCUUCUUGAUUAUGUCUUCUCUGCUUCAUCAAGCCACCACCGGUGCUUCUCUACUUCAUCAAACCACCACCGGAGCUUCUCUGCUUCAUCAAGCCUCCACCGGAGCUUCUCUGAUGCAACGGAUCCAAGUCCAGAACCUCCUGAAGCAAAAAUAAACUGAGAGGAAAUCUGUUGAGAGGCUUGUCCCAUCUUCAUCAGCUUUUUCUUCGCUAUCAGGAACAUGGCUGAGAAAGUACCGUCAUUUAAAACCAGUGGAACUCUUUGGUUUACGAUCUCACCACUGCAUAUACUACAUAUAUCUUGCCAUUAAGACCCGCGCCUUGAUAAUUAAAUUUUUCUUGAUAAUCAAAUUGUCCUAGACACGUAUACAUACACGCAUUUUCCUUGAUAAUUAAAAUAGCCCUUCAUGGUAUUGUGCUUCAUGGUAUACGUAUACGUACACACAAUAAAAAAAAUUGUCUUAAGUGAAUGAAAUAGACUUUGCUAUGAUCAAGUCAUUCUUGUUUGGUGUUUGUUCCUGCAGAAACUCAUUCUUGUUUAUGUUUGUUCGUGCAGGAAGAAGUAAACAGUGUAAUAUCCGAUAUCCUGCGGGACGGUCCGCAAAGGCCUACAAAGAAUGCGGUACAGGAUUGGGCAGCUAUUUUCAGAACCGCAUCCUGCGCAGGACAGGUCCGCCGUGUCCCGCCCGAAGACAAACCCGCAGCGGUCCGGGACGGGACGGGAGAACCGAAUUGACAUCUCUACUAACGUGGCAGCUUCUGCUGGUUAACGUAUGAUUAUUACCGUACAUGACGUGGCAGAAAUCUAAUGGCUUAUCAGUUAUUAGGUCUGAACUAAGCCGAGCGUCUUUAAAAGACUACAAAUUUAAGCGUUUUUCCCAAAUCAUACGUAUAUUGAUACAACAAAUAUGUUACCAAUGAUUUUUUUUUUUUUUUUUUGAAAAUAACAUGUUAGCAAUG